rnacentral:rRNA from 1 species
UACAGAGGGUGCAAGCGUUAUUCGGAAUCACUGGGCGUAAAGAGCGCGUAGGCGGUUCAAUAAGUCCGAUGUGAAAUCCCUGGACUCAAUCCAGGAACUGCAUCGGAUACUGUUGAACUUGAGUAUAGGAGAGGACAGCGGAAUUCUAGGUGUAGAGGUGAAAUUCGUAGAUAUCUAGAGGAACAACAGAAGCGAAGGCGGCUGUCUGGACUAUUACUGACGCUGAGGCGCGAAAGCGUGGGGAGCAAACAGG